GGCACAAUAUGUGAAAAUCGGAACAAAAUGAUCGGCCCACAGAGCUUCGUGUUGUAUUCCCGUCAGCCUUCAGAUAUUAUUCCGGACAAGCCGGACCUGACAAGCUUGGCGAACAAAGGACUUGCCUCAACAAUUUUUAAAGAACACGGUGAUAUAUUUCAAAAAUAAAUAUUAGGUAACUCCUUAUUUAUUUCAAAUAAAUACCAAUUUUUUCAUGAA